GACGAACGCUGGCGGCGUGCCUAAUACAUGCAAGUAGAACGCUGAAGAGAGGAGCUUGCUCUUCUUGGAUGAGUUGCGAACGGGUGAGUAACGCGUAGGUAACCUGCCUGGUAGCGGGGGAUAACUAUUGGAAACGAUAGCUAAUACCGCAUAAAAUUGAUUAUUGCAUGAUAAUUAAUUGAAAGAUGCAACUGCAUCACUACCAGAUGGACCUGCGUUGUAUUAGCUAGUUGGUGAGGUAACGGCUCACCAAGGCGACGAUACAUAGCCGACCUGAGAGGGUGACGGCCAACACGGGGACGGAGACAGGGCCAAGCCCCCCAGGGGGGGAGGAAGAAGGGAGUCUGGGGCAAGGGGGGGAACCCGGACCGAGCAACGCGGGGUGAGUAAAGAAGGUUUUGGGAUGGUAAAGCUCUGUUGAAAGAGAAGAACGGGUGGGGGAGGGAAAAGUCCACCCUGUGACGGUAUCUAACCAAAAAGGGAGGGCUAGCUACGUG
rnacentral:rRNA from 1 species